rnacentral:tRNA from 1 species
AAGGACUUAGCUUAAGUUAAAGUGUUUGGUUUGCAUUCAAUUGAUGUGAGGUAAGUCUCACAGUCCUUA